rnacentral:lncRNA from 10 species
CAUGAAUUAUUUAUAUAUAGUUUUAAAGAAUAAAAUAAUUUCUUUUUAAAAAGGAUCAACCCAAGACCUUUGGAUUAAAGGGGAAUUGGGAGAGCCAGGACAGGCACUAGGAUGGACCAUUCAGAGGUCUAGAUCCAGCAUGGAGUCAGUGAGGGUGAGAAGACUUCAGCGGAGAGGGAGAUGGAAAGAACCAAAUCUGCCAGCAUGAGGGCUCAGGCAGGAGGGUAAGUCCCCCCAUCUUAGGGGAAGCCAGCGCUAGGGAAGUGAACGUACCCAUCAAAGCCAGGGAUGACGCGCCAGCCAGGCAUUUGGUAGAGGGAUGGGGAGCGCGUGCUCGGCACACAGACAGAUUUUCAGUAGGUGGCUGAAAGACACGAGGGGAAAGAUUGUGUAACUGAGUUGUGGGGAAGGAGAACAGUGGCCUAUUGUUGGAGACCUAAUAAACAAAUUGAGAGCGUUCAUCUUGCGGGUGUGGGCCUGAAAUAAGUUCCGAGACAGCUUAAUGAUCCAUCACAGGUUCUUUCCUAGGAGUGAGUCACCAGCACAUUUUAUUAACCCAGUUCACCCUUCGUUGCCCCAGCGCCUGCAACAAAGCAACCGAGAUCCCGCAGCUGAGCCGCUCCCAUCAUGAAGCCUCUGGCCUACACAAUGGGGAAGAUGAAACCAGCCAGCCUCAUCAAUCGUCCCUGGGCAGGCCAGUCUCCUCUUCAGUCUCAUGUUCAGGGUUUGCAUAAUUAGGCGCCUGAUGGAGGCGAAUGUCUGCCCCACCGAAGGUCGUCAUUGUGCAGCACUCUGUCGGGGAGCUGUGAGGUACACAGCAGCCCGGGCCUGCUCCGAACAGCAGCAGAGCCUGUGAGGAGGAGCCUGGCUUUUGCAGGAGCGCAUUAAUAAGGUUGGAAACCCGUGGCUUGGGAAUCAGAGCCAAUCGCAGUCAUGUCAGAAAUGGAAAUAAGAAACUCCUGGAUGAAAUGGAGGAGCCAGCAACCCUCUAACCAGAGGUUCUGAAUUUCAAUUUGGGGUCCACUCUGCAAAAGCUGAGGGCUAUUGAGCAAAUCCUUCAACCCCUCAGUGUCUUUGUUUCCUGGACUGCAAAAUGGUGGUGACAUACCAGUUCCCCUUAUCUUAGAGACCAAUCGGUUUACACUUUGAAGAGCUCACGGUGUGUUCAGGGCACUAUUCUAAGGGUGUUACAUGUGUAUUAACUCUAUAAUCAGCAACAACCCUAUGCAAGUUUGCCCUUUGGCAUUCUUCAAGGGCUUUGGCUGAUCCUGCCUUCUGGCUGCUCCUGCUCCUCCUGCCUGAUCCCCACCUCUGGACCCCAGCCUGGGCUGUCCUCAACUGUCUGGAAACUACUCAGAAUGUUAGAUCUUGAAUCACCUCUUGCAGCCACCACAGUGUGGACUCAAUCCUUUUUCCAUUCAUGUUCUCCUGUUCUGCAACUGGGCUGAAAUGACUGCAUGGCGAUGAGGGAGAGAAGACUGAGUCUCAAGUGGGGACGCAAUUUGUGGAAAACAAUAGGCCCCAGGGCAAGGAGCGAAAUGGGCAAUUAGCCCAGGUCUGUGUUGAAGUCAGUCUCUUGGACUUACCUGGAAGCUCUCUAAGGCAGGGAUAUAUUCAGAUCAUCUUUUCAUUUUUUUAUUUCCUUCCUCCUCCCAACUCUCCAUGUUCACCCCUCCCCAAAAAAACUAGUAAAGCUCAUUUGCAAUAUAUUUGUUGCUUUGAAUUUUUUUUUUUAUUUAUUAUUAUUAUUUUGAGACACAGUCUCACUCUGUCACCCAGGCUGGAGUGCAGUGGCACGAUCUCGGCUCACUGCAAGCUCCGCUCCCCCCUCCCCCACACCUCCCUCAAAGAGGUUUCAGUGUGACAAGGAAGAGGUCACACACACCCAGGGAGCUAGAAGUAACGCAGAAAAUACAGACUGCUUCAAGAAAAGUACGAAGGCUGGGCUAAACUGGUUUCACUUCCAAGUGAUUGGGUGAUGGCCCCUAUGGGUCAGCCUGGCCUGAAAAAGAAAUCUCCCCAUUGGGGCUCCAGCUUGUCCCAUUCAGCCCUUAACACAGCUCUGAGCUGAGGCAGGAGUCAGCAUCACCAGCACUUUUUGUUUUACAGGGUUUUUUCCCUUCAAUUCUCCAUUUGUCUUGGUCUGCAGGUGCUCUUCUCCCUGACCCUCCUUUCAUAUUCAUCCUAAAUGACAAGACCUUUCCUUAAAAACAAGCAUCUUCUCCUCCCAUGGCAAGACAAGGCUGCCCUUUGUGUGUUGUUUUCAUUAAUUUGUUGAUACUUGUUUUCAAGCUACAUUUUAUUGGACUUGUGCUUACUUUGCUGAAGCACAAAGGUUGUUUAAGCAGAAGGGCACAAGAAAGUGGAAAACUCCUGACCUCAAGUGAUCCACCCACCUCGGCCUCCCAAAGUGCUGAGAUUACAGGCGUGAGCCACCACACCCGAUCACGGGUCUUCCUGCUUCUGUGAUCACCUUCUCAUAACCUUGAGACCACUGCACAUUGAUGAAGUUCAGUUAAUCUACAAUGACUGUAGCCAUCUGAGUGACCCCAGGUGAGACCAAUAGAACUGUCGAACUAGCCAACGCACAGCAUUGUGAGAAACAAUAAAUCAUUGUUUUAAGCCAUUAUGUUUUGUGGUGGUUUGUUACAAACACAUAACUAAAACAACCUCAAAAUCUGGAUAAUAUGUUAGGGCCUGCCUGGAAAGCUGGCUGCCCCCCUGCUCUUCCUCGGCCCAUCGUGGGAACUCUUGGCUAUAAACAAAUCUUCCCGGAGUGGAUAAGUGGUCAGGAUUUAAGGUGGUAUUCUUCCCAGGUGCUCGUGCAACUUCAAAAAAAUAAAAUUCUAAGAAUGGGAUUUCAGGCCCUUAUCAAGGACAUAUUUAUGGCCAGGGACCCUCCUGCCUGCUCUUCAGAAACCACAUCUUGGCUUCUUCCUUCAAUAGCUUCCAGCCACCUGUUAAAGAUCUGCCUUUCCCAGAUGAGAAGGCAGGUCUAAUUCAGAGGAGAUUGAGCUGGUUGAUAAUGCAGAAGAAAUUUCAAGGCGACUCUGAAGCACAUCUAGGCUUCCUUGUAGCCAAACCAAACGAAAUAAUCUCAAACCCCAAAAUAUUACAGGAAAAAAAAUAAAAUCAAGUAUUGCAAAGAUGACAAAAUGUUGGGUCGGGCAUUAUAGAUCAUGCAUUAUAUAUAGCAGUUACCUACAGAUAGUAAAAAGUCACACCUGUAAUCCCAGCACUUUGGGAGGCCGAGGCGGGUAGAUCACUUACGGUCAGGAGUUUGAGACCAGCCUGGCCAACAUGGUGAAACCCUUUCUUUACUAAAAAUACAAAAAUUAGCUGGGCAUGGUGGCACGCGCCUGUAGUCCCAGCUACUGGGGAGGCUGAGGCAGGAGAAUCACUUGAACCCAGAGGUGGAGGUUAAAGUGAGCCGAGAUGGUGCCACUGCACUUCAGCCUGGGUAACAGAGUGGGACUCCAUCUCAAAAAAAAAAAAAAAAAAAAAAAAAAAAGCAGAUGGAUUCCAAUAGAAUUUGACCUCUUCUGAGGUCUUUACAUUGUUCUGAAAGGGUCUGUUUGUGUCCAUUUCCCUAACUAGACUGUAAGUCUCUUGAAAACAGGGAUCAUAUCAUAAAGUAUUCAUUGGCUGGGCAAGGUGCCUCACACCUAUAAUCCCAGUAUUUGGGAGGCCAAUAUGGGAGGAUCAGUUGAAGCCAGGAGUUCGAGACCAGCCUGGGCAACAAAGUGAGACUGACUAUUCUCUAUUUUAAAAAAAGAAAAAUUUUC